rnacentral:lncRNA from 1 species
UUUCAGUCAAAUCAAACCAUAUUUGCUUGAAUACCUUGAUAAUAAGAUCAUGAUACUCAUCUGAAUUCAAAGAAAGAUAACAAGCAAGAAGAUCUUCCAAAUCCUUUGAUGCUCUUAUGUUAUUCUCCACAAUCAUCUCCACCAUUGACUCUCUAAAAUCCUUUUGAGGAUUAAAUGAUGACUUCACUAUUGCUAGACUACCGGAGAAGCUUCUCCGGUAGCCGGAGGAAGUUACCGUCGAUGACACGCUUUUCCGGACAUGAUGAAACUGAACAAUUCUUGGAGAUUUUAUACGAAGUUUCACUCCAGGAGAAUUUACAGAACCAUUCUUCUUCUUCUUGUUCUUCUUCUUAUGUUGUUCUUGAUUGAUAAUUUUAAUCUUUAGAGAUUCUUCUUUGAUGGGUUUGUGCUCAUUUUUCAUGGUUGGUUUUGUAAUGAUAGGAGGAAGUUCAAGCUUUGAAAAAGAAUCAUAUGAAUAAUCAUACCCUUCAAGUUUAUCAUCUUUUCUAGCUAGAGAAUUUUUAUCAACAUCAAUAACAAUAUCUAUAUUGUUGUUAUUGUUUGAGAUUUUGUUACAAGCACAAGAUGAAGUGGUUAACGAAACCAUUUCAUCGAACGAUGGUUCAGUUGGUAUCAGAACACGGUCGGUCCUGAAUUCAGGGUCCGGGGACUCUGAUUCAGUUAAGCUAUCAAGUGGAGAAGAUGAAAAGUUUUCGUGUGGAGAAUCUGAUUUUGUCCACACUGAUUCAAGUGUCGUUCGACAACUACAACCCGCGGAGACAGAAGAGGUAACAUUUUUUGGAGAAGAAGAAGAAGAAUUUUUUGAUUUUAAUGUUGUGGUUCUUUUUUUUCUUGUUUUGUUUUUGGAUGGUGUUUGUGGUGUUUUUGGUGAAGUUGAAAAUUUGGUGUUGUUUUGGUUAAGUUCUCUAGUGAAGUAGUAUGAUUUUCUAGGAUUAUUACAUUGGUUGGGUUGGUUUGGUUUUGAGGAAUGUGUUGAAGUUGUUGAGGAUAAUGAAAAAGGUUGUUUUUUCUUCUUGGAAGGUGUUGUUGAUGUUUGGUUUUUUG